CAAGAGAUAGUUUAAUUAAAAUAUUAAUUUUGGAGAUUAAUGAUAAAGAUCUGUCUUUUUUCUUGA
rnacentral:tRNA from 1 species